UACGAAGGGGGCUAGCGUUGUUCGGAAUUACUGGGCGUAAAGCGCGCGUAGGCGGAUCGAUAAGUCAGGGGUGAAAUCCUGGAGCUCAACUCCAGAACUGCCUUUGAUACUGUCGACCUUGAGUUCGGGAGAGGUGAGUGGAACUGCGAGUGUAGAGGUGAAAUUCGUAGAUAUUCGCAAGAACACCAGUGGCGAAGGCGGCUCACUGGCCCGAUACUGACGCUGAGGUGCGAAAGCGUGGGGAGCAAACAGG
rnacentral:rRNA from 1 species